AGAUCUGGUGAGGGAUUUAGUAGCACAGAGUACUUCGGUUACCUUCACCGCUGACUGACCAUGUUCACGAGUUUGCAGGAUGGACGUCAGGCUGAGCUUUCUCUCCCUCUUAGCACCAGACAGAAGGGAUCCAGCACUAAUGAGGAUGAGGAUGUUGCCCUUGGGCUCUCUGAGGACCUUUCCUCUUCUGGGCCUUUGGAUGAGCUGAAGCCAAAAGCCACUAUUGGAAAUAUGGGAAAUCACAAAGCAUCAUAGAAUCAUGAAUCAUCGAAUGGUGUAGAUUGGAAGGGACCUUAAAGACCACUGAGUUUCAACCUCCUACCAUGGGCAGGUUGCCCCCCACCAUCUCAGGCUGCCCAGGGCCCCAUCCAGCCUGGACCUGAGCACCUCCAGGGAUGGGACACCCACAGCUCUCUGGGUAGCAGUGCCAGGGCCCCACCACUCUCCAAAUAAGAAAACAUCCUUGGCCACAGAUUUGCCAUGACUUUGAGGAAGUCACUUCAUCUGACAUCAGCACCACAAGCAACGAAGCCCUCACUGGUAUUGCAUUAAUCUUCAAUCAAAACUUCACAUAAGGAUUACAGGAAUAAACUACUGCAGCAAGAGAAUAUUCUUCAUCUGGAUGACCCCUUUGUUCCACAAGUGUGCAUUAUCGGCAUUUUCACAUCUGUUCAUCACUUGGAGCAACUUUCUUUUGUCCCUUAGUUAGCUCAAGCAUCCACUUCCCCCUCCCAUGCUCCUCCACACCAUACAUUUUUUUUUAAAUCUAAAUACAUUUUCUAAAGUUUAUGACAUGCUGUGUAAUUAAAAUCAAGUUG
rnacentral:lncRNA from 7 species